GGAAUUUUCGGCAAUGGGGGGGAACCCUGACCGAGCAACGCCGCGUGAACGAAGAAGUUAUUCGUAAUGUAAAGUUCUUUUAUCAGGGAAGAAAGAGGAAUUUGACGGUACCUGAGGAAUAAGCUCCGGCUAACUACGUGCCAGCAGCCGCGGUAAUACGUAGGGAGCGAGCGUUAUCCGGAAUUAUUGGGCGUAAAGGGUGCGUAGAUGGAAUAGUAAGUCUUUUGUAAAAAUGCUGGGCUCAACCCAGUAGGGCAAAAGAUACUGCAAAGCUAGAGUAUGACAGAGGCAAGUGGAACUACAUGUGUAGCGGUAAAAUGCGUAAAUAUAUGUAAGAACACCAGUGGCGAAGGCGGCUUGCUGGGUCGAUACUGACAUUGAGGCACGAAAGCGUGGGGAGCAAAC
rnacentral:rRNA from 1 species